UACGAAGGGGGCUAGCGUUGUUCGGAUUUACUGGGCGUAAAGCGCACGUAGGCGGAUCGUUAAGUCGGGGGUGAAAUCCUGGAGCUCAACUCCAGAACUGCCUUCGAUACUGGCGAUCUCGAGUCCGGAAGAGGUGAGUGGAACUCCUAGUGUAGAGGUGGAAUUCGUAGAUAUUAGGAAGAACACCAGUGGCGAAGGCGGCAUCCUGGACCGGCAUUGACGCUGAGGAGCGAAAGCCAGGGGAGCAAACGGG
rnacentral:rRNA from 1 species